ensembl:piRNA 21ur-600 ncRNA
UCCAUCGUGAUAAUCAAAUUA